CCUACGGGAGGCAGCAGUGGGGAAUAUUGCACAAUGGGGGAAACCCUGAUGCAGCGACGCCGCGUGAGCGAUGAAGUAUUUCGGUAUGUAAAGCUCUAUCAGCAGGGAAGAAAAUGACGGUACCUGACUAAGAAGCCCCGGCUGACGACGUGCCAGCAGCCGCGGUAAUACGUAGGGGGCGAGCGUUAUCCGGCUGUACUGGGUGUAAAGGGAGCGUAGACGGUCUUGCAAGCCAGAUGUGAAAUACCGGGGCUCAACCCCGGGACUACAUUUGAAACUGUAGGGCUAGAGUGCCGCAGUGGCAGGCGGAAUGCCUAGUGUAGCGGUGAAAUGCGUAGAUAUUAGGAGGAACACCAGUGGCGAAGGCGGCCUGCUGGAC
rnacentral:rRNA from 1 species